AUCCAGCUGACGAGUCCUACAUAGGACGAAAGGCGCCUUGUCUUGGAU
rfam:Schistosoma rodhaini strain Burundi genome assembly, scaffold: SROB_scaffold0002510